UACGUAGGGUGCAAGCGUUGUCCGGAAUUAUUGGGCGUAAAGAGCUCGUAGGCGGUCUGUCGCGUCUGCUGUGAAAACUCAGGGCUUAACCCUGAGCUUGCAGUGGGUACGGGCAGACUAGAGUGCGGUAGGGGAGACUGGAAUUCCUGGGUGUAGCGGUGAAAUGCGCAGAUAGUCAGGAGGAACACCGGUGGCGAAAGGC
rnacentral:rRNA from 1 species